GAGCGGUAGUUCAGUCGGUUAGAAUACCUGCCUGUCACGCAGGGGGUCGCGGGUUCGAGUCC
rnacentral:tRNA from 1 species